GACCUCUCCGGUGGCCUAGUGGUUAGAGCGUCCGCCUCGGAUGCGGGAUAUCGUGGGUUCGAUACCAGGCUGAGUCA